GACGAACGCUGGCGGCGUGCCUAACACACGCAAGUCGAGCGGAGACAAGAGAUAGCUUGCUAGAUCUUGUUUUAGCGGCGGACGGGUGAGUAACGCGUGAGCAACCUUUCUCUCAGUGGGGAAUAAUACAGGGAAACUUGUACUAAUACCGCAUGAGACCACAGAGUCGCAUGGCUUAGAGGUCAAAGAUUUAUCGCUGAGAGGUGGGCUCGCGUCUGAUUAGAUAGUUGGUGGGGUAACGGCUCACCAAGUCGACGAUCAGUAGCCGACCUGAGAGGGUGAUCGGCCACAUUGGGACUGAGACACGGCCCAA
rnacentral:rRNA from 1 species